AUGCCACAGCCACGGUUUCUGUAUCAGUUUAUCCCCCCGACUGCAGGCCAUCCCACAACUUUCCAUGCUCCAAUGCAAAGCAGUGGGAGUCAGGCAGGUAGCAGUGGGCAGGUUGGUGCUGGCAAAGGUAAGAAGAAGCAAAAGAAGCUUGCUGGUAAGACUGAACAGAAGAAAAAUGAAGAGACAUAUCAAGGUUCAGAAACAGGUGAGCCUUUCCGUAUUGAUCCCAAGUAUGUUGGUGCUAUAUGCUACAACUGCGGUUUGCCUGGCCACUUCGUGGGGAUGUGCUCUGUUCCAAAACUAUGUUUCAUUUGCAGAAACACUGGUCACCGUAUGGACGUUUGCCCUACUUGGUACAAAACAUACCCUUUCAGCCAGUACUUGGGUAGUGCAAACAGUGGCCUAGGGUUCUACCAUAUUGAGACUGGGGAGAAGAGUGAUGUGGAUUGGCUUAACUUUGGUAAUGUUGGUCUGGUUUUUGUUCAGGAGGGUGAGAUAAGUGCCAAGGAACUGGAGAGAUGCUUUGCUGAAAUGUGGAAGACAAACUGGCCCUGGGAAAUUAGAGCCUAUGAUGAGAAGCAGUACCUGGUCAGGUUUCCACCCAACAAAAAGAUCCAGGACUUGGUUGAAUAUCCAUCCAUUAAUCUCAAGAAAAAGGGGGUAACCAUUCUGUUUAGAGACUGGAAUGGAGAGCUCCCAGCCUAUGACAGUCUGCAGGAAAUCUGGAUUGAAAUUGGAGGGCUACCACCAAAGUGGUGUUCUUGGAAUGUAAUUGCUCAGAUAACAUCCUCUUUGGGUUUCUUGCUGAAUGUUGACUGGCAUGGCAUUUUCAGGAGUUUCUAUGACAAAGUAAGGGUCCAAGUUGCUGUGAGAGAUCCUACAAAAAUCCCUGAGGACAGAAUGUUUGAAUUCUGUCAAGAGUUAUUCCUGUUGACCUUCAAAGUGGAGGAUGAUGCUCUCAUGACCUCACCACAUGACCCAGUGAUCCUGGAGAUGAUGAUCAAGCAGAACAGGACAAAGAGGAGGAGGAAGAAAUUGAGGAUGAUGACCUUCUGGGUGAAGAAAUGA
rnacentral:rRNA from 1 species